CACGUAGGGCGCAAGCGUUGUCCGGAAUUACUGGGCGUAAAGCGUGCGCAGGCGGCUUUGCAAGACAGAUGUGAAAUCCCCGGGCUUAACCUGGGAACUGCAUUUGUGACUGCAUGGCUGGAGUGCGGCAGAGGGGGAUGGAAUUCCGCGUGUAGCAGUGAAAUGCGUAGAUAUGCGGAGGAACACCGAUGGCGAAGGCAAUCCCCUGGGCCUGCACUGACGCUCAUGCACGAAAGCGUGGGGAGCAAACAGG
rnacentral:rRNA from 1 species